GUUCGAAGCGGAGAAUUUAAGCCCCAGUAAACGGCGGUGGUAACUAUAACCAUCCUAAGGUAGCGAAAUUCCUUGUCGGGUAAGUUCCGACCUGCACGAAUGGCGUAACGACUUCUCUGCUGUCUCAACCGCGAACUCGGCGAAAUUGCAUUACGAGUAAAGAUGCUCGUUACGCGCAGCAGGACGGAAAGACCCCGAGACCUUCACUAUAGUUUGGUAUUGGUGUUCGGUGUGGCUUGUGUAGGAUAGGUGGGAGACGUAGAAGCGUGCACGCCAGUGUGUGUGGAGUCAUUGGUGAAAUACCACUCUGGCCAUAGUGGAUUCCUGAACUUCGGACCCUGAUCGGGUCCAGGGACAGUGCCUGAUGGGUAGUUUAACUGGGGCGGUUGCCUCCCAAAGAGUAACGGAGGCGCCCAAAGGUUCCCUCAGCCUGGUUGGCAAUCAGGUGGUGAGUGUAAGUGCACAAGGGAGCUUGACUGUGAGACGGACGUGUCGAGCAGGAGCGAAAGCUGGGACUAGUGACCCGGCCAUGGCUUGUGGAAGCGUGGUCGCUCAACGGAUAAAAGGUACCUCGGGGAUAACAGGCUGAUCUUGCCCAAGAGUCCAUAUCGACGGCAUGGUUUGGCACCUCGAUGUCGGCUCGUCGCAUCCUGGGGCUGGAGUCGGUCCCAAGGGUUGGGCUGUUCGCCCAUUAAAGCGGUACGCGAGCUGGGUUUAGAACGUCGUGAGACAGUUCGGUCCCUAUCCGCUGCGUGCGUAGGAAAUCUGAGAAGGGCUGUCCUUAGUACGAGAGGACCGGGACGGACGAACCUCUGGUGUGCCAGUUGUACCGCCAGGUGCAUGGCUGGUUGGCUACGUUCGGGAAGGAUAACCGCUGAAAGCAUCUAAGCGGGAAGCCUGCUUCAAGAUGAGAUUUCCCCUGAGGUGUCCAGUAGACGACUGGGUUGAUAGGCCAGAUGUGGAAGCACAGCAAUGUGCGCAGCUGACUGGUACUAAUACACCAAUCACUCACCCA
rnacentral:rRNA from 1 species